ensembl:rRNA 5S_rRNA 5S ribosomal RNA
GCUUACGGCCAUACCACCCUGCGAAUGCCCGAUCUCGUCUGAUCUCGGAAGCUAAGCGGGCUCGGGCCUGGUUAGUACUUGGAUGGGAGACCGCCUGGGAAUGCCAGUUGCUGUAAGCU